GACUGCUUUGGUGGCUUAGUGGUUAGAGUGUCUGCCUCAGAUGCAGGUGGUCAUGGGUUUAAACUCCUGCCGAGUCA